rnacentral:misc_RNA from 1 species
AUUUUAUGGAACUGAAUCCAAUCAUUUCGAAAGAAACAACUUUCCAAAAUUUUCUCCUGAAUACGGGCAGGCAACACAGGAUAAAUCCUCAAACGACAAGAAAACAAAAUCUACUCCCUUUUAUCAACUCAAAUAACCACAAAUCAAAACAUCAACCAUAAUCACAUAACUGCAAUUAGCCAAGGCAGACUUGCGUACGUCUGGUGUCGAUGGAUUCCAAACAAGAACGAGAGAGGCCUAUGGUAGAGGGUGCGAGGUAGUGUCGAGGGCGACUUGUUUGUGAUGCACUAAACUAAGAAACUGAAACCAACUUAAAUUCAAAUUCUGCUCAUCACUCAUCUUAUCUAUGUACAACAGUAUCCACUGUCACCUUGUCUCCAGUAUGAAUAAAUUUAUUAAGAAGUCUCCAAAAGACCAAAAUGACCCAUCAUCACACCAAACAUAAUGCACCGUUUUUUAAUAUGGUAAUCACUCCCUUUUGUUUAUUUACUAGUAAUGUGCGGUUUGCAAACCACAAAUAAAAGUCUUGUCUUGAAACAAAGCAAAAAACAAGGAGACAGAGAUGGACUAAUAAAAAAGGAAAAAAAAACAAACAUCCUCCUAACAACUACACAAUACACUGAUAAGAUUCACCAAUACAUCCCAUCCCUACACCUCUUCUCAUCCAGGACAUCAACCAGAGAAUACUGUCCAAACCCCACUAACUCCACUAAACUUGCAUUUUUCAAGUAAAACCACCAUACUUUUUUUUUUCAGUGGAGGGAAUUCCUAUUUUCUCAGUUACAUUAUUGAACAGCUGCUAGU